CUUUGGGGGUACGGGCGCUAAACCCCCUGAUGUUUAAAAACGGGCAGUAAACUCCCUGAACUUUGAGGCGGCGCUCACAAAACCCCCUAAGAUCAAAUAUCGCCGUUUUUUUCGUUUUCUGUCGACGUGGCAUCCAAUUUCUCGUCCGGACACCAAAUGGCGGCGCCUGUCCCCCCUGCAUGCAUGUCUGACACCUGCUGCUUGUGUAAGAAUGCGUCAGUUGACUUUUUAUAAAAAAAAAACAAAUGAAAAGUAACCGCGGUAAUUUAUUUUUUUCUCUCUCCUACUUUUCCUUUUCCCCACUCGCUCCUCUCACUUCCGUUUCACUAUUUUCGUUUCAAAUAUUUUCGCCACGCUUCGUCUUCUUCCCCUCGUUUUUUCGUUUCUUCGCUGACACUGACCUAGGGUUUGCUCCUUUCCCAUUUUUCAUUCAAUCUUUCUCAUUUUCCUCGCAUUCUUCCCCAUUCUUCUUCCAUUGUUCAACAUUGUCUUUCAUUUACCGAAGUGUAAAAAAUAUAAGUAAAAUCGCUGAAAAACCUAACUAAAAGAGAACAUUACUUCUGCAACAAAGAACAAGAAAGUGAUUAAAGGUUUUUAGUUUGUGUGGCUGCAAAAAAUGAAGAGAAAAGGAUUCAGUAGACGAAAACGAAAAGAAAAGAGUGAUUACAGAAGCGGGCCUCCUGGAACUGCUGGGUAUGGCUUGAUGGAUAGUUCCAGCAGCGAUGAUGUUGUUGAAAGUAUGCUUGUAGUCUAUUUUAUAGGACAUUUUUGCUAAGAAAUUGGCGGGGGUUGAUGACUGUAAAAGUUGAUAAAUUUGUAGGACCACUUAAUUACCAAACAUGUCAAAUUUUUUUUUAGAGAUAAAUUGGUUGAUUGGUUUGGGACCAUUUCUUUUUGGCUGUAUAUGCUUUUUGAAUAAUAGAAUAUGCUUGCUA